GGCACCUGAAUAUGUGACAUGGUUAAACUUUGACAAAGAUGCAAAGGCAAGACUUUAAGAUGCUGUUUCUGGUGGUUACCAUGGUUUCAACAAUGUAUUAGUUUGUGAUUAGUAAAUACAUGGUAAAUAAACCAGAUUUCCAAGUGGUUUUCUUCAUCAGAGGGGCAACAACCAAGAUUAAAUCCAACUUGAAUGUCAUCAAUUAUUGUCAUAUAGUGAAUAACUAUGAUUUGACAAUUAGAAUAAAUAUAUUUGCUUGAGAGAAUUCUGUCUAAAAUUAGUAAAGGAAUAAAGAAGUCUUAACUAUGGCAUCUCUUUCUGUAGAAGAAGAAAACUAUGUUCGAAUGAGUUUGUUAUUAACUGGAAUUUCUCCUCGUGCAGCAAGAACUUUCUUUGAUAGUGAAUUUGCUCCAGCAUGUUUAGAAGCGACAUUAAAAAAGGAGUAUAACAAAUUGCUUGACUUAAAAAAGAAGCAUAGAAUCAACCAAUCACAGUGGAACCUUCUGUGUCCUAGAUUUCCCGAUGUUCCAGAUUCUAAAACAUUUGACGUAACUUUGAUGAUACUGUUACUGAGGAAUUUGACUCCGAUCACC